rnacentral:rRNA from 1 species
UGGGGAAUAUUGCGCAAUGGCCGAAAGGCUGACGCAGCGACGCCGCGUGGGGGAUGAAGCAUUUCGGUGUGUAAACCCCUGUUGCCCGGGACGAACAAGCAGAUUUUUCUGCUCUGACGGUACCGGGUGAGGAAGCACCGGCUAACUCCGUGCCAGCAGCCGCGGUAAUACGGAGGGUGCGAGCGUUGUCCGGAAUCACUGGGCGUAAAGGGCGCGUAGGCGGUCUGCUAAGCGUGCGGUGAAAGCCCGGGGCUCAACCCCGGGUCUGCCGUGCGAACUGGUGGACUAGAGCACUGUAGAGGCAGGUGGAAUUCCGGGUGUAGCGGUGGAAUGCGUAGAGAUCCGGAGGAACACCGGUGGCGAAGGCGGCCCGCUGGGCAGUAGCUGACGCUGAGGCGCGACAGCGUGGGGAGCAAACA